UACAGAGGUCUCAAGCGUUGUUCGGAUUCAUUGGGCGUAAAGGGUGCGUAGGUGGUGGGGUAAGUCGGAUGUGAAAUCCCGGGGCUCAACCCCGGAACUGCAUUCGAUACUGCCUUGCUCGAGUACUGGAGAGGAGACUGGAAUUUACGGUGUAGCAGUGAAAUGCGUAGAUAUCGUAAGGAAGACCAGUGGCGAAGGCGAGUCUCUGGACAGAUACUGACACUGAGGCACGAAGGCCAGGGGAGCAAACGGG
rnacentral:rRNA from 1 species